rnacentral:rRNA from 1 species
GACAGAGGGUGCAAACGUUGUCCGGAAUCAUUGGGCGUAAAGCGCGUGUAGGCGGCCAGAAAAGUCCGCUGUGAAAACUCGAGGCUCAACUUCGAGCUGUCGGUGGAAACUUUCUGGCUAGAGUCCGGAAGAGGAGAAUGGAAUUCCUGGUGUAGCGGUGGAAUGCGCAGAUAUCAGGAGGAACACCGGUGGCGAAGGCGGGUCUCUGGGCAGUAACUGACGCUGGAGGAGCGAAAGCGUGGGGAGCGAACAGG